GAUGAACGCUGGCGGCGUGCCUAAUACAUGCAAGUCGAGCGAAUGGAUUAAGAGCUUGCUCUUAUGAAGUUAGCGGCGGACGGGUGAGUAACACGUGGGUAACCUGCCCAUAAGACUGGGAUAACUCCGGGAAACCGGGGCUAAUACCGGAUAACAUUUUGAACCGCAUGGUUCGAAAUUGAAAGGCGGCUUCGGCUGUCACUUAUGGGUGGACCCGCGUCGCAUUAGCUAGUUGGUGAGGUAACGGCUCACCAAGGCAACGAUGCGUAGCCGACCUGAGAGGGGGAUCGGCCACACUGGGACGGAGACACGGCGCAGACUCCUACGGGAGGCAGCAGUAGGGAAUCUUCCGCAAUGGACGAAAGUCUGACGGAGCAACGCCGCGUGAGUGAUGAAGGCUUUCGGGUCGUAAAACUCUGUUGUUAGGGAAGAACAAGUGCUAGUUGAAUAAGCUGGCACCUUGACGGUACCUAACCAGAAAGCCACGGCUAACUACGUGCCAGCCGCCGCCGUAA
rnacentral:rRNA from 1 species